GUGUUUAUGAAAGGAGAGGUUAGCAUGGCCCCUUGAAAAGGAUGUAAAAGCUUCAGGCCUAGUAACAGGCAUUGGUCAAGGCACUGCUGUCUGUUUUGUAGUAGUUAACUACUGUUUUUU
ensembl:snRNA U6atac minor spliceosomal RNA